rnacentral:rRNA from 1 species
UACGUAGGGUGCAAGCGUUGUCCGGAAUUAUUGGGCGUAAAGGGCUCGUAGGCGGUUUGUCGCGUCGGGAGUGAAAACAUCGGGCUUAACUCGGUGCUUGCUUUCGAUACGGGCAGACUUGAGGCAUGCAGGGGAGAACGGAAUUCCUGGUGUAGCGGUGAAAUGACGCAGAUAUCAGGAGGAACACCGGUGGCGAAGGCGGUUCUCUGGGCAUGUUCUGACGCUGAGGAGCGAAAGUGUGGGGAGCGAACAGG